GACCAAAGGUGAAAACUUACGCAGGACCUCCCUCCCGGCUCCCAUUAUCCCUAGCUAGCCCGCGCUCAUCCCCUUCUACACCAGCAGCCGCCGCCCCCGCCCCGCACCCCUUGCCCUCCCUCCCUACCUUUUCCCAGCCGAGCGCCCCAUCCACCUAAUACAAAGGGCAACGCCGCGGCUGGGCAGUCCAGGAGGCGAGCGAGGCAGCGAGCAAAGUUUUUCAUGGAUCGAUCGAUACAUGUGUGAUUGUGUUUGCCUCUUCCUCAGCUGGCUGAUCGAGCGUCCUCUACGUGCCCUCCCUCAGCAGCUCGUCGCCGCAGGCAGGUAUCCACACGUGAUGCCUAUGUGCUGCACGCCAUUUCUCUAUGCAGGUGCCGCCAUGGCCGUGUCAUGGAGCUCGCCGCCGCGCCUUCCAACGACGCCCUGCGUCCAGGCAUGGCGAGGGCGCUCGAUGGCAGGAACGGCCGCAUCAAGGAGGCAGCUAGGGACGGUGGCUCCAGGGCUCUACACGCCGUUGCCAGCCACGGGAAGAUGUCGGUGUGUGUUUACCUGCUCGAGAAGCAUGUUCAACGAAAAUGUCAAUGAACCUUUGGCCAUAGCUUCUUCCUCUUCUCACAACAAGUGAGUUCUCUCUGCACUAGCAUUAGUGCUAUCAGUAAUCACCGCUCUAGAAUCCUGAAUAUAUUUCUAUAUGAUAUCCAGCCGGUAAUCGUGCAGGGUUUUGUCUAAAGUUUUUUCUUUUACAAUUUGCAAUGUACAAAGUUUGAAUAAACUGCUGGCAUCUAAUUUUCCAUCAUAUUAUAUUUUACGCAUAAGUUUUGUAUCUCCUUUCUAAUGAGUAAAUGGUGAAUAGAUCCUUUUUGUGAAUUAAACAUAAUUCAGAGAUGAUAAUGACUAUGUAGCUUGCAUUGCAUGCAUGUAUGGUGGUGUAUCUAUUGAGCUGGAGAAUAUUUUAGUAUUCAUUCACUUGCAGCGAUGGCAAUGACCAACACAGUUUUUUCGUUUUCUGUUUCGUUCCUACGUUCUGGUUGGUACCGGUGUAGAUUUUCUUCCUUAAUAAAAUACAUAGAAGUAGAUCGGAUUGGUCACAAAUAUCUUACUACUUCAGCAGCAGUUAUGUUUUUCCAACUGAAAUCAUUUUCCUUGCUAGGCACUAGCUAUACCUGAAAACAGGUAAGAGACAUGUUGUUGGCAACUCACCCUUAGUUACAGUUGAGGUACUUGCACAAAAGACGUGUGAAAAUGUUUGAUUUUAACAUUGUUUUACCAUAUGCUUUGAUUUCAUCGGGAAAGAGGAGAAGACGAGAGGAAAAGAGUCCCUAGGGGUAAGUAUGGCCGAGCACAACAGGUUGAAACAAAAAUACUGAGAUGGUGUUGAGAACAGAAAAUAGGAGAAAUACUCCAAUGUUUUACACAACAUGUUGUGACACAUGCACACGACAUAGAUAUUUUAAUCAAUAUCUCAUUUAAUGAACUAAUCAAGAAAGAAAAAAAUAGAUUGACUCAUGAUGACAAAUAUGUUCGUCUUGAUUUGUACUAUCAAUUUUUAUCGCAACACAGUCAUAAGUCGCAUGUGACGUUCACAUUGUGAAUUGAAAUGAUGUUUUGAUUAGUGUCUUAGUUUGUUGUUUCAUGGUAGCACGGGCAUUCACCUGUGUUAGUUUUUCAUCUUGAAUGAAAGUAACUUUGUGUUAUAAUUGAUUGAGCAUAUGAAUUUAUGAAGUAUUGGUUGUGUAUGCUAAUUCUGACAGAUGGAAUCCUUUGCUUUCUAGCAUCAUGCACUAAUAUCUCUAUCCCUAAUGUCUCAGUUGGUAGAAUAGCCUCCACGAAUUUUUUUUGUCCCACCACUUUCAUCUAUUUUUUUCUUUGGUUUUUUGUCCCCCACCCCACCCCACCCCAUGCAAGCACCCUCAAAAAACAACCCGCACAAACACCGCUCCUAUCGAUCCCUUGGACGCACGAGAUCGCCGCCGCCGACCUCACAGAGAAGAUGCCACCGAAUCUUGUACACGUACGGGAUCGCCGGAUCCCUGGAACGCCGCUGAUCUAUUCACUACGUCGACGGAAACCAAGCGCUACACUAGAAACCAGGCCGAUCCCAGAGCCAGAAGAAGAAGGAGAAGAGGGUGUCCAUGGCUCAUCAGGCGUCGGCGGGCAACGAUGACACGCGGCUGCGAAGGUGUUCGUGGAUGGCCUGGCGUGGAAGAUGAGCAAGGAGGGCGUGCGCGACCAGUUCGAGCUCUUCGGCGAGAUCCUCGAGGCCGUCGUCAUCGCCAACAAGGGCACCGACAUAUCCAAGGGCCGCGGAUUCGUGAGUACCCACCCAAACAAUUCUCUCUUCCCCUCAUCAUCAAUUCAUGUUCAGUAGUUAAUUCUCUUGUUUAAUUCAGCCCUGUUAGUUGAUGCUAUGCCUAGAUGGAUGUUUGGCAGGUUACGUUUUGGGAGGCGGAGGCGGCCAUUAGGGCGUGCUUGGGUCCGUACCGGUGAUUGACGACCGAAGGACCAACUACAACCUUGCCCGCCUCAGGGUCCAAAGGUCCAAGGCCCCACAACCAACUGCCUCUGCAUCCAUAUGCUGGUAAUUAAUUAAUUUGAUGUUUUGAUUGUUAGUCAUUGACCAUGACCAAGAAUCUGUCAAUUAAUUUGAUGCUUUAGUUAACUUGUAAUUUGCUGAAUUAUUAUUGGUUAAGCACCGUGCAUGUCUUCGUUUGAUUGUUAGUCGGUGACCAUUACCAAGAAGCUAGCUAGGUGUGCAUGCAUGCCACACACAUUAUCUGUUGUUGCAGUUUAAAAUCAUCUGCCAACUCUCUUUUCAAAUAAAAAAAAUCUGCCAACUUAAUUAAUCAAUCAUGUCGGAUUGUAGACGCGGUGACCAGACAAUGCAAAGUUCCUGUUUAGUUUGACAUAGUUAGUAGAAGGUUUAGUGUCAAUCUAGAUUUGCUAUGACUAAUUUGAAAACUAUACUGGUGUUAUAGAUUUGCUAGGACUAAUUAAUCUGUAUGCACGGCUAUUGCUCUUUUGAUGUUUUUCACUGUCGAGAUUACGCUUUUAGAAAAUGUGUUUGUUUUGUUUUGUGUUAAGCUACAACAAAAUAUGAUUUGAUUCCACUCUGGACAAUCUUCAAAGAGAUGCUAAUUCUCCAUGAUUAUUAACUUGACGUCUGAAAUUAAGUUUGCCUGUCCUAUUGUGGUUUAUUUCAGUUAUGUGUGGUAAUUGCAGCAAUCAAGUUACCAAAUCUGAAGCAUUUUAGCAAGGCAACGGUACAUGUGCUCUUUUGGUGGAAGAUGAAGCUUUUGUUGGUAAUGUGAUGUUUUUUCUAACGAAGACUGACAAUUAAUUCAAAAGACUGACAAUUAACCAUGGGAAAGUAGUGCAUCAUGGAA